rnacentral:sRNA from 1 species
GCAUGCAAGUGUACAUGCAGACGGAGCACACAUUCAUUAAAUAAACAAAUAAAUAGGUAAAUAAAAAUGAAAAGUUCCGCUAUAUAGGGUUGUGCAUGUGGAACCUAAGCUGCAGGGUGGGAUGUCGUAGGUGCUAGCACCACAGGAUGUCUCUACAUAAAAGUUGUAGACAGGGAAUAAAAUUGCCCCAAGAGAGGAAGGUGCAUAUAGUUGCUGGAACUGAGAUGAUGCUACCAAGAGCCCAAGGUGCCAGGCAUGAAUCUAUAAGAUUUGGCUUGCUCUGCUGGAUUUCUAUCUUGCUUCUGUCCAGUCUUUUCUUGCUAUGUCCCAUUCCCCUCUUUUGGAAUGGGAAUAACUUACUCUGUGCCAUUAUGUAUUGGAAGUAUAACUUCUUUAAAGCAGACACCCGGAGUUGAGGAAUCACUUAGCCUCAGCAGAGGACCCUGCCUUUACCAUUUUGAAUAAAUACCCCCAAACUGCCAAGCUUUUGGAGACUUUAAUGAUCUAAAUUUGUUUUGCGUUGUGAGAUAACUAUGAGAUUUUAAGAGCUAAAAACGAAAUGUUACGAUUUGAAAGUGGCAUGUUUGCGUGUCUAGUUGACAAGGGGUGAGCUUGUGACAGUUCAUCAUUAUCAUCAUUGUCUGAUAGACUGGAUUUGGAAUCAUCUAAGAGAUGUGCUCCUGGAUAUGUCUGUGAGGGUGUUUCUAGAGAGUUUUAUUUGAGCAAAGACCCACCCUAAAUGGGAUGGCACUAUCCCAUGUCCUAAGUUGUCCCAGGGAGAACGAGGAUGAACAAGGGAGAAAGGGAAAUGAGCACUAAUAUUCACAUCUUUCUGCUUCCUCGCUGUGGAUCCAACGUGGCCAGCCACCGCGUACCCCACCACUCCACUCUAAAGGCCUAAAUCACCCUGUGACAGGAUAUGGCUCAGAAGCGUCAGCACUACCACUGUGUCAAGUCUUCUUGCAUGCAAUCCUCACAGAAGUCCUGACAGGGUUUUUGGCAAUAGUGGAUGGCUCAAAAUAUUCGUGCAGAGGACCUGGGUUCAAUUCUCAGCACCCACAUGGUGGCUCACAACCAACUAUAACUUCAGUUCCAGGUCAAACUCUUCAGAGGUCAAACUCCUCCAUCUUCACCCUAGCACUGGAAACGGUCUCCAUUCGUGGACCUUUGGGAGCAACAGUAGGGAGAAGGACCAACAUCGAGACUCACGUGACAGUCGGCUGACGUGUACAGAUGCUUCUUUUUUUAACUUGCACGGAGCUUGUUGAAUUUAAAACCAAACACCAACAUUUUAAAAUUCAAGGAUUUUAUCGCUUCUCGGCCUUUUGGCUAAGAUCAAGUGUAGUAUCUGUUCUUAUCAGUUUAAAAUUCAAGGAUUUUAAUUAAGAGUCUGUGUGGGCAUACAUUUUUUUGCAACCUAUUUUUAAUUAAAGGGUUCAACCUCUCCUCUUGCCCACCGCCCAGCAGAGGUCGUGGAAGAGGAAAGUUAUUAGGAUGUGGGGGAAGUGGACCUGUGCAGCAAUGGCUCUUCGGGGCUGAGCUCCAUCUUCUUGGGCAGCAGCUCAAUCCCAUAGCAAACACCAAAUACGACUCAGCAGCUACAGUUCAGUCCUUUCAGCAGGCAGACACCAGGCAGCUGUAGUUCAAUCCUGAAGAAACCACCAGGCUCGCCAACUGGCCAGAGGCGAGGCUGCUGAAGUGGCAAGGGGAGCUGGGCGCUCGUUGCUUCCUGAGGGUGAGGACAGUCUCAUCUGGUAAUCUCUACUUACUUGUUUGCCUGCUCCUGUAUAAGGAGCCCCUCCCAGAGCACCCAAGUCCUAACUAUGGGAGUAGUCAGGAUUUCUUUUAGAUGGUGGGGGACGAAUAGAGAGAAAGCAAGCCUUGGGCUUGGGCUUGAACCUUAAUAAAGAAGUUAAGUGAGCUUCCCUGAUUCUAGUUGUCCUGUGUUAAUGGCCCCCAUGGGCUGCUCUGGGGAGUGGGAAGAAGGAUCUCACAGUGCAGGGAAAGGUCAGUCUAGCUUGAAAUAUUCCUGAGAGCACUGGAUCUCCUAACUCUUGAGAAGGAUGGGCUUACCUGUGUAAGACGUCCAUCACAUCAAUGAUAACUAUCAAAUGAUGUUAAGACUCAGGACUCUGACUUUAGUGCCGUCUCUGUGGUUUACAUGCUGGGUGCUUGUAUAGUAAUUUCACUUCCUGAGCACGUUUUCUCACGUAGGACCACAGAACAUGGUUAAACCAGAGUUCUCACUUCAAGUAGCACUCUGGGGAUUAAAUCCAAAGGUAUGUAGAAAGUACUUAAGAAUUAGUGUAGCCAGUUUCAUGCACACCUUUAAUCCUAACACUUGGGAGGCAAGGCUGGUGGAUCUCUAAGUUCCAGGCCAGCCUGGUCUAUACAUAAAAAGUUCCAAGCCGGUCAAUAGCUACAUAGAGAGAUCUCAAAAAUCAAAAACAAAACAAAUCACACCACUACUGCUUACUUCUGCCAUCAACCUUUUAACGUCGCUGUGGGAGAUAAGGAAGUGAGGUAAAGGAUGUAACACCCCCGUCCCAGAUCUUAGCACAGCUGACUCCAUGACCGAAGUACCAUUCAAGUUGUAAAACUGAGGACAUAGGCAGUACCACCUGCCAAAACUGGGAUAAAGGCCCAAUCCAUCAAAGUCCAUAGCUCUGGGAAAGUCUAAAUGUACCAAGCUUGGUUUUUGGCUUCUGUAGUUCUGCUUCUGGUUGUCUUGUUAUCUGGAAGUAUGUCAAUCCAGGAUGUGGUUUUUAUGCUUAAAACCUCACUCUGAGAAAGGCUUGGUUCUCCACUGGGACCUUGAGAGCUCAGUGUAGUCGCUGGUUGGAUGAUAAAGACUUUCUAUUGGCAUAAACCUGUGUCCAGGCUGUCUUCUCCGGUGGAUACCCCACAACAGGAUCACAGAGAACUGGACACGGGGUGACCAGAAGCGAAGAACAUACAGUGGAUUUUAUUUUAAAUCAUGGCAUUUAAACCAUGAGUUCCAGAAUGUGUUUUAGAUAAAAUCUGAAAGGUAGAAUUUAAAAGCUGUCUAACCCUUUGGGGGAAAAUGAAAGAUGUUCGGCCAGGUGUGACUAAUCUCUGAGUUCCCUGAGCACAGAGCUGGCACUUUGCAAACACUGGUGUCUUUGUGAACCAGUGGAAAUUAUUUCUUAGGGCACAUCAGUCUCCUCAUUUGUAAAUGUUUAUGAAGAUCAGGAGAUAAUGGCUUGGAAUUUGUCUGACUAAAAGUAAGUACUGGCCAUGUUCCGGGUGAGAAUCCCCGAUACACAUGCUGGGAAGGGAAACAUUCUGGUCAGUUUGUCUGUUAGGAUAACUGUUAUGUUACUGCUAUGACAACUAAGGUAAAAACAUCCUGUGCCCCUGUGACCUCCAAUUCUGCUCAUUUUAAAAAGUUCAUCGG